rnacentral:rRNA from 1 species
UCGGGAAUAUUGCGCAAUGGAGGAAACUCUGACGCAGUGACGCCGCGUGCAGGAAGAAGGUUUUCGGAUUGUAAACUGCUUUAGACAGGGAAGAAAAAGGACAGUACCUGUAGAAUAAGCUCCGGCUAACUACGUGCCAGCAGCCGCGGUAAUACGUAGGGAGCAAGCGUUAUCCGGAUUUAUUGGGUGUAAAGGGUGUGUAGACGGGAAGUCAAGUUAGUUGUGAAAUCCCUCGGCUCAACUGAGGAACUGCAACUAAAACGAACUUUCUUGAGUGCUGGAGAGGAAAGUGGAAUUCCUAGUGUAGCGGUGAAAUGCGUAGAUAUUAGGAGGAACACCAGUGGCGAAGGCGACUUUCUGGACAGUAACUGACGUUGAGGCACGAAAGUGUGGGGAGCAAACAGGAUUAGAUACC